rnacentral:rRNA from 2 species
UUCCGGUUGAUCCUGCCGGACCUGACUGCUAUCGGAUUGAUACUAAGCCAUGCGAGUCAUUGUAGCAAUACAAGGCAUACGGCUCAGUAACGCGUAGUCAACCUAACCUAUGGACGGGAAUAACCUCGGGAAACUGAGAAUAAUGCCCGAUAGAACAUUAUGCCUGGAAUGGUUUAUGUUCCAAAUGAUUUAUCGCCGUAGGAUGGGACUGCGGCCUAUCAGUUUGUUGGUGAGGUAAUGGCCCACCAAGACUAUUACAGGUACGGGCUCUGAGAGGAGUAGCCCGGAGAUGGGUACUGAGACACGGACCCAGGCCCUAUGGGGCGCAGCAGGCGAGAAAACUUUGCAAUGUGCGAAAGCACGACAAGGUUAAUCCGAGUGGUUUCUGCUAAAGGAACCUUUUGUCAGUCCUAGAAACACUGAUGAAUAAGGGGUGGGCAAGUUCUGGUGUCAGCCGCCGCGGUAAAACCAGCACCUCAAGUGGUCAGGAUGAUUAUUGGGCCUAAAGCAUCCGUAGCCGGCUCUGUAAGUUUUCGGUUAAAUCUGUACGCUCAACGUACAGGCUGCCGGGAAUACUGCAAAGCUAGGGAGUGGGAGAGGUAGACGGUACUCGGUAGGAAGGGGUAAAAUCCUUUGAUCUAUUGAUGACCACCUGUGGCGAAGGCGGUCUACCAGAACACGUCCGACGGUGAGGGAUGAAAGCUGGGGGAGCAAACCGGAUUAGAUACCCCGGGUAGUCCCAGCUGUAAACCAUGCAAACUCGAUGAUGCGUUGGGCUUGU